UACGUAGGGGGCAAGCGUUGUCCGGAUUCAUUGGGCGUAAAGAGCGUGUGGGCGGCCAGGUAGGUCGGUUGUGAAAACUGGAGGCUCAACCUUCAGAGGUCGACCGAAACCAUCUGGCUAGAGUCCGGGAGAGGAGAGUGGAAUUCCUGGUGUAGCGGUGAAAUGUGUAGAGAUCGGGAGGAACACCGGUGGCGAAGGCGGGUCUCUGGGCAAUUCCUGACGCUGAGGCGCGAAAGCGUGGGGAGCAAACGGG
rnacentral:rRNA from 1 species